AUAGAAAACACCUGGCACACUCUAUUUUGUUUCGGAUCCAAAAAGAGAAAAAAAGAAAAAAAGUUGUUCCUUGAAAUUGAAUCAAUAAAGAACGUGGCAAACCGCUUUUUGAAAAGCUCACGCACGUCGAGCUCUCUCGGUCUUCUGUUCCAGCCGACCGAGUCACCCCAUUUUCCUCUCUCCUUACUCUUUUCACCCAACAGAAAGAAAGCACACAGCUCAUCGACGGCAAGCCUCACAUCCGCUUUCUCCGACCACCACCAGGUGAUUUUAUCAUCUCCCUCCUCCGCCCUCUCUCUAUCCCUUUUUAAUCUCUGAAUUCAUAUUAAGAAUAGAACCAGUGAUUCGGAUCCAAACCCACACACAAAAAAGAUCCGAUCGGAUCCGGAUCUCGCACCCCUCAUGCCUCGCAAACCCAACAUCCUAGGGUUUCUCUUCAGCCUCUUCUUCCUCACAUUCUGCCAUGCCGAUCCGGGUUCCAAUUGCCCCAAGACCAGCCCUCUCGUCAACUCCGAGUCCGAAUUCAAAAUGGUACAGCACCAGCUCCGAGGCUCAAUUAAGAUAAUCGACGAUUGCUCCUUCAAAGUCUCCGAUUUCGACAUGCUCCCCGGCUCCGACGUCCACUGGUGGGGCGCCACCGCUCCCGAUUUCACCAACCUCAGCGCCGGCUUCGUAGUCUCCGAUCAGAAACUCAACGAGACCUACAAAAGCGCGAGCUUUACUGUGCGUUUGAGGGACAAUGUCACCUGGGAUCGGAUCCAGGUCCUCGCCGUGUGGGACCUCCCCACCGCCUCCGACUUCGGACACGUGAUUCUCGGCGAUUUCAGAAGCGGGUCGUCCGACCCGGCUCCUUCACCGUCUCCGUCCAGCGCAACCGGUUCGGGGAACGGGACGGGUCGGGUCCACACCGAGCCGACUAUGUUGGAGAACUGUAAGGUAUUGUCGAAGAACUAUAGGGUUAGAUGGACAUUGAAUUCUGAUGAGAAUAUAAUUGAUAUUGGGUUGGAGGCCGCCACCGGGACUAUGAAUUACAUGGCUUUCGGAUGGUCCAGCCCGAACUCGACUUCGGAGCUCAUGCUCGGAGCCGAUGCCGCCGUCACUGGGUAUAUCAGUCGUCUGUAACAUUCUGGCUCUCAAGCUUUUGGAAUCAGCAGAACUCAAUUCUUGAUCCCAUUGUCUACGUCGGGCGGCGUUGACGAUGUUCAGAGGGGCUGCUUCCACCGUAACAUCCUGCGAAAAUCUUUGGAUAUUUUGGCAUUUCCGAGGUUUUUUUAA